rnacentral:lncRNA from 1 species
CUGAGAGCAGAUCCCUUUCUUUGGGAAAACAAGCCCAUGAAGCUGUGCUCAAGAGUGAUGAGCACAAAAGCAACAUCUACUUGUUGACGGGAUUGAUCGAUAUGUACUGCAAGUGUGGCGAGCUUGAGGAGGCUCGCAAGAUUUUCGACUCCAUGGGAACCCGGAGUGUUGUGUCCUACAACGCGAUCAUCCAGGGCUGCGGCUCGAACGGGCAAGCUGAACUUGCUCUGGAGUACUACUCUGCCCUGAGAGCUUGUACCACCAUUCAACCCAACGAUCGGACACAUGUCGCGGUGAUCAGCGCCUGCUCCAGACUUGCUACCGAAUCCAGCGAGAAGAGGGAGAGAGCUCUACGCAUCGGGAUGGAGAUCCAUUCAAUGCUGAGCAAGGAGAAGAAACAGCUAGAUCUGUUCGUGGCGACUUGCCUGGUAGACAUGUACUGCAAGUGUGGCGAGCUUGAGGAGGCUCGCAAGAUUUUCCACUCCAUGGGAACUCGGAGUGUUGUGUCCUACAACGCGAUCAUCCACGGCUGCGGCUCGAACGGGCAAGCUGAACUUGCUCUGGAGUACUACUCUGCCCUGAGAGCUGAUAACACCAUUCAACCCGACGAUUGGACACAUGUCGCGGUGAUCAGCGCCUGCUCCACACUUGCUACCGAAUCCAGUGAGAAGAGGGAGAGAGCUCUACGCAUCGGGAUGGAAGUCCAUUCAGUACUGAGCAAGGAGAAGAAACAUCUAGGUCUGUUCGUGGCGAAUUGCCUGGUAGACAUGUACUGCAAGUGUGGCGAGCUUGAGGAGGCUCGCAAGAUUUUCCACUCCAUGGGAACUCGGAGUGUUGUGUCCUACAACGCGAUCAUCCAGGGAUGUGGCUCGAACGGGCAAGCUGAACUUGCUCUGGAGUACUACUCUGCCCUGAGAGCUUGUACCACCAUUCAACCCAACGAUCGGACUCAUGUCGCGGUGAUCAGCACCUGCUCCACACUUGCUACCGAAUCCAGGGAGAAGAGGGAGAGAGCUCUACGCAUCGGGAUGGAGAUCCAUUCAAUGCUGAGCAAGGAGAAGAAACAGCUAGAUCUGUUCGUGGCGAAUUGCCUGGUAGACAUGUACUGCAAGUGUGGCGAGCUUGAGGAGGCUCGCAAGAUUUUCCACUCCAUGGGAACUCGGAGUGUUGUGUCCUACACCGCAAUCAUCCAGGGCUGCAACACGAACGGGCGAGCUGAACUUGCUCUGGAGUACUACUCUGCCCUGAGAGCUUGUACCACCAUUCAACCCAACGAUCGGACUCAUGUCGCGGUGAUCAGCGCCUGCUCCACACUUGCUACCGAAUCCAGCGAGAAGAGGGAGAGAGCUCUACGCAUCGGGAUGGAAGUCCAUUCAGUACUGAGCAAGGAGAAGAAACAUCUAGGUCUGUACAUGGCGAAUUGCCUGGUAGACAUGUACUGCAAGUGUGGCGAGCUUGAGGAGGCUCGCAAGAUUUUCCACUCCAUGGGAACUCGGAGUGUUGUGUCCUACACCGCAAUCAUCCAGGGCUGCAACACGAACGGGCGAGCUGAACUUGCUCUGGAGUACUACUCUGCCCUGAGAGUUGAUAACACCAUUGAACCCGACGAUCGGACUCAUGUCGCAGUGAUCAGCACCUGCUCCAGACUUGCUACCGAAUCCAGCGAGAAGAGGGAGAGAGCUCUACGCCUCGGGAUGGAGAUCCAUUCAAUGCUGAGCAAGGAGAAGAAACAGGUAGAUCUGUUCGUGGCGACUUGCCUGGUAGACAUGUACUGCAAGUGUGGCGAGCUUGAGGAGGCUCGCAAGAUUUUCCACUCCAUGGGAACUCGGAGUGUUGUGUCCUACACCGCGAUCAUCCAGGGCUGCAACACGAACGGCCGAGCUGAACUUGCUCUGGAGUACUACUCUGCCCUGAGAGCUGAUAACACGAUUCAACCCGACGAUCAGACUCAUGUCGUGGUGAUCAGCGCCUGCUCCACACUUGCUACCGAAUCCAGCGAGAAGAGGGAGAGAGCUCUACGCAUCGGGAUGGAGAUCCAUUCAAUGCUGAGCAAGGAGAAGAAACAGCUAGAUCUGUUCGUGGCGAAUUGCCUGGUAGACAUGUACUGCAAGUGUGGGGAGCUUGAGGAGGCUCGCAAGAUUUUCAACUCCAUGGGAACUCGGAGUGUUGUGUCCUACACUGCGAUCAUCCAGGGCUGCAACACGAACGGGCGAGCUGAACUUGCUCUGGAGUACUACUCUGCCCUGAGAGCUGAUAACACCAUUCAAGCUGAUGCUUGCACCUAC